AUUGAACGCUGGCGGCAGGCCUAACACAUGCAAGUCGAACGCGUGGCGGACGUGUGAGUAGUGUCUGGGAAACUGCCCGAUGGAGGGGGAUAACUACUGGACGCGGUCGCUAAUACCGCAUACCAUCGGGUGUGCCCAGAUGAGAUUAGCUAGUAGGUGGGGUAACGGCUCACCUAGGCGACGAUCCCUCGCUGGUCUGAGAGGAUGACCAGCCACACGGGAACUGAGACACGGUCCAGACUCCUACGGGAGGCAGCAGUGGGGAAUAUUGCACAAUGGGCGCAAGCCUGAUGCAGCCAUGCCGCGUGUAUGAAGAAGGCCUUCGGGUUGUAAAGCACUUUCAGCGAGGAGGCGUUACCCGCAGAAGAAGCACCGGCUAACUCCGUGCCAGCAGCCGCGGUAAUAC
rnacentral:rRNA from 1 species